rnacentral:rRNA from 1 species
GGGUGUAAAGCGAGUGUAGGUGGUUUUCCAAGUUGGAUGUGAAAGCCUUGAGCUCAACUCAAGAAAUGCAUUCAGGACUGGGAGACUAGAGGACCGGAGAGGAUAGUGGAAUUCCCAGUGUAGUGGUGAAAUACGUAGAGAUUGGGAAGAACACCAGUGGCGAAGGCGGCUAUCUGGACGGUUUCUGACACUAAGACUCGAAAGCGUGGGGAGCAAACAGGAUUAGAUACCCUGGUAGUCCACGCCGUAAACGAUGGGUGCUAGACGUUGGCGGGCUUGCUCGUCAGUGUCGCAGCUAACGCGUUAAGCACCCGCCUGGGGAGUACGGCCGCAAGGUUGAAACU